rnacentral:rRNA from 1 species
CACGUAGGGCGCAAGCGUUGUCCGGAAUUAUUGGGCGUAAAGAGCUCGUAGGCGGUCUGUUACGUCUGCUGUGAAAACCCGGGGCUUAACCCUGGGCUUGCAGUGGAUACGGGCAGACUAGAGGCAGGUAGGGGGAGAAUGGAAUUCCCGGUGUAGCGGUGAAAUGCGCAGAUAUCGGGAGGAACACCGGUGGCGAAGGCGGUUCUC